CAGUCGCCACGGGAAUACGUAGGUGGCAAGCGUUGUCCGGAAUUAUUGGGCGUAAAGGGCUCGCAGGCGGUUUCUUAAGUCUGAUGUGAAAGCCCCCGGCUCAACCGGGGAGGGUCAUUGGAAACUGGGAAACUUGAGUGCAGAAGAGGAGAGUGGAAUUCCACGUGUAGCGGUUAAAUGCGUAGAGAUGUGGAGGAACACCAGUGGCGAAGGCGACUCUCUGGUCUGUACCUGACGCUGAGGAGCGAAAGCGUGGGGAGCGAACAGGAUUAGAUACCCCCGUAGUCCCUGUCUCUUAUAC
rnacentral:rRNA from 1 species